rnacentral:rRNA from 1 species
AGAGUUUGAUCCUGGCUCAGGAUGAACGCUAGCGGCAGGCCUAAUACAUGCAAGUCGAACGGUGAUAGCAAUAUCAUAGUGGCGCACGGGUGCGUAACACGUAUGCAACCUACCUUAUACUGAGGGAUAGCCUUUCGAAAGGGAGAUUAAUACCUCAUAACACAUUGAACUGGCAUCAGUUUAUUGUUAAAGAUUUAUUGGUAUAAGAUGGGCAUGCGUCCAAUUAGUUAGUUGGCGAGGUAACGGCUCACCAAGACGAUGAUUGGUAGGGGAACUGAGAGGUUAAUCCCCCACACUGGCACUGAGAUACGGGCCAGACUCCUACGGGAGGCAGCAGUAGGGAAUAUUGGGCAAUGGAGGCAACUCUGACCCAGCCAUGCCGCGUGCAGGAAGAAGGCGUUAUGCGUUGUAAACUGCUUUUAUAUAGGAAGAAAUAGACCUUGCGAGGUAAGUUGACGGUACUAUAUGAAUAAGCACCGGCUAACUCCGUGCCAGCAGCCGCGGUAAUACGGAGGGUGCAAGCGUUGUCCGGAUUUAUUGGGUUUAAAGGGUGCGUAGGCGGUUUAUUAAGUCAGUGGUGAAAGACGGUCGCUCAACGAUUGCAGUGCCAUUGAUA